UGGAUCGUCUACCACUACGCCACAGACUAUGGACGACGAACCGGCACAAGGCCGAUGGCUAGCUUACGCCGCCGCCCGCUACACCGUGAACAAGCCGCCGCCAGGCCGAAUUUUGCAUCGACUACAGGCAGCCAGACGUUGACCACGCCGGCAGACUUUAGCACAUAAGCCGUUACCAACACGUCGACAUCUCCACCGAACUGCACAGUUUAUGUACCGCCCGAGGAUCGGCUAUAACACCCGGCAUAUACGCAAGCGUACACACCAGGCCACCUGCCAUCCCGACCUGGCCGAGCCAAAUGGCCCAACCAAGAAGGUUGAUCCCGGCAGACCGGCAGCAACGGCGGUCGUGGCUUACACCCUGAGGAAGUGCACCGACCAGCUUUUGGAUCCUGCACGGCGCUUAGCAUCCAUCUGACGCCCAAGCACUCAGCUACGAGGAGCCAAGCCCACCAGUUUAGGCAGACCGCGACAGACCAAAAAUGUGCUCAUGCACACACACCACACUGAUCGGCUGAAUCCCUAGGGCUUGCAGCUUGACUACACCCGUUUACCUCUCAGCGGUUUCACGCACUGUUUACUCUCUCUUCAGAGUACUUUUCAACUUUCCCUCACGGUACUUGUUCGCUAUCGGACUCGUGCCAGUAUUUAGCCUUAGAUGGAGUCUACCACCCACUUUGGGCUGCAUUCACAAACAACCCGACUCCAAGGUGGAACAAGUCAACCCACCACCACUACCCCCACGGGCCUUUCACCCUCUCUGGGCCAAUAUAAGAGCCAUAUUCAUUACUGGACUUGGGGCAGCAGAUAAGCUGACAUGUCACCACCUAAACACCACAGUGCCUAGUAUCCAACAGGACACAGGCUUCGGUGCUGGGCUUAUCCCCGUUCACUCGCCGUUACUAGGGGAAUCCUGGUUAGUUUCUUUUCCGCCGCUUAGUGAUA
rnacentral:rRNA from 1 species